UGUAGCUCAGUGGUAGAGCACUUGCCUAGCAUGCACGAGGCCCUGGGUUCAAUCUCUAGCA
rnacentral:tRNA from 1 species